UACGGAGGAUCCAAGCGUUAUCCGGAUUUAUUGGGUUUAAAGGGUGCGUAGGCGGAAGAUUAAGUCGGUGGUGAAAUUUUGCAGCUCAACUGUAAAAGUGCCAUUGAUACUAGUUUUCUUGAGUAUGGAUGAAGUAGGCGGAAUUUGUGGUGUAGCGGUGAAAUGCAUAGAUAUCACGAGGAACUCCGAUUGCGCAGGCAGCUUACUAAACCAUAACUGACGCUCAGGCACGAAGGCGUGGGGGAUCAAACAGGAUUAGAUACCCCGGUA
rnacentral:rRNA from 1 species